rnacentral:rRNA from 1 species
CUAUAAUGCAGUCGAGCGAACAGAUAAGGAGCUUGCUCCUUUGAAGUUAGCGGCGGACGGGUGAGUAACACGUGGGUAACCUACCUAUAAGACUGGGAUAACUUCGGGAAACCGGAGCUAAUACCGGAUAACAUUUAGAACCGCAUGGUUCUAAAGUGAAAGAUGGUUUGCUAUCACUUAUAGAUGGACCCGCGCCGUAUUAGCUAGUUGGUAAGGUAACGGCUUACCAAGGCGACGAUACGUAGCCGACCUGAGAGGGUGAUCGGCCACACUGGAACUGAGACACGGUCCAGACUCCUACGGGAGGCAGCAGUAGGGAAUCUUCCGCAAUGGGCGAAAGCCUGACGGAGCAACGCCGCGUGAGUGAUGAAGGGUUUCGGCUCGUAAAACUCUGUUAUUAGGGAAGAACAAAUGUGUAAGUAACUGUGCACAUCUUGACGGUACCUAAUCAGAAAGCCACGGCUAACUACGUGCCAGCAGCCGCGGUAAUACGUAGGUGGCAAGCGUUAUCCGGAAUUAUUGGGCGUAAAGCGCGCGUAGGCGGUUUCUUAAGUCUGAUGUGAAAGCCCACGGCUCAACCGUGGAGGGUCAUUGGAAACUGGGAAACUUGAGUGCAGAAGAGGAAAGUGGAAUUCCAUGUGUAGCGGUGAAAUGCGCAGAGAUAUGGAGGAACACCAGUGGCGAAGGCGACUUUCUGGUCUGUAACUGACGCUGAUGUGCGAAAGCGUGGGGAUCAAACGGAUUAGAUACCCUGGUAGUCCACGCCGUAAACGAUGAGUGCUAAGUGUUAGGGGGUUUCCGCCCCUUAGUGCUGCAGCUAACGCAUUAAGCACUCCGCCUGGGGAGUACGACCGCAAGGUUGAAACUCAAAGGAAUUGACGGGGACCCGCACAAGCGGUGGAGCAUGUGGUUUAAUUCGAAGCAACGCGAAGAACCUUACCAAAUCUUGACAUCCUUUGAAAACUCUAGAGAUAGAGCCUUCCCCUUCGGGGGACAAAGUGACAGGUGGUGCAUGGUUGUCGUCAGCUCGUGUCGUGAGAUGUUGGGUUAAGUCCCGCAACGAGCGCAACCCUUAAGCUUAGUUGCCAUCAUUAAGUUGGGCACUCUAGGUUGACUGCCGGUGACAAACCGGAGGAAGGUGGGGAUGACGUCAAAUCAUCAUGCCCCUUAUGAUUUGGGCUACACACGUGCUACAAUGGACAAUACAAAGGGCAGCUAAACCGCGAGGUCAUGCAAAUCCCAUAAAGUUGUUCUCAGU